UCCGCAGUAGCUCAGCGGUAGAGCGUCUCGCUGUUAACGAGAGGGUCCCUGGUUCGAAUCCAGGCUGCGGAGCCA
rnacentral:tRNA from 1 species